rnacentral:precursor_RNA from 9 species
ACGUGCUGCCAUCUAUUGUGGGAGACCAGCCCUCAGAGCUUCCUGUGUUAUGUUGUUUUCUGUCAUAUCACAGCCUGCUUUGAUGAGCUGUUUUACCAUGCUGACUCUGUGAUUGUCU